AGACGGGUGAGUAACGCGUGGGAAUCUACCUAGUUCUACGGAACAACAGAGGGAAACUUCUGCUAAUACCGUAUACGCCCUAAGGGGGAAAGAUUUAUCGGAAUUAGAUGAGCCCGCGUAAGAUUAGCUAGUUGGUGGGGUAAUGGCCUACCAAGGCGACGAUCUUUAGCUGGUCUGAGAGGAUGAUCAGCCACACUGGGACUGAGACACGGCCCAGACUCCUACGGGAGGCAGCAGUGGGGAAUAUUGGACAAUGGGCGAAAGCCUGAUCCAGCCAUGCCGCGUGAGUGAUGAAGGCCUUAGGGUUGUAAAGCUCUUUCAGUAGGGAAGAUAAUGACGGUACCUACAGAAGAAGCCCCGGCUAACUUCGUGCCAGCAGCCGCGGUAAUACGAAGGGGGCUAGCGUUGUUCGGAUUUACUGGGCGUAAAGCGCACGUAGGCGGUUUGUUAAGUCAGAGGUGAAAUCCCGGAGCUCAACUCCGGAACUGCCUUUGAUACUGGCAAGCUAGAGUCCGGAAGAGGUAAGUGGAACUCCUAGUGUAGAGGUGGAAUUCGUAGAUAUUAGGAAGAACACCAGUGGCGAAGGCGGCUUACUGGUC
rnacentral:rRNA from 1 species